GACGAACGCUGGCGGCGUGCUUAACACCUGCAAGUCGAACGGAAAGGCCCUGCUUUUGUGGGGUGCUCGAGUGGCGAACGGGUGAGUAACACGUGAGUAACCUGCCCUUGACUUUGGGAUAACUUCAGGAAACUGGGGCUAAUACCGGAUAGGAGCUCCUGCUGCAUGGUGGGGGUUGGAAAGUUUCGGCGGUUGGGGAUGGACUCGCGGCUUAUCAGCUUGUUGGUGGGGUAGUGGCUUACCAAGGCUUUGACGGGUAGCCGGCCUGAGAGGGUGACCGGCCACAUUGGGACUGAGAUACGGCCCAGACUCCUACGGGAGGCAGCAGUGCGGAAUAUUGCACAAUGGGCGGAAGCCUGAUGCAGCAACGCCGCGUGCGGGAUGACGGCCUUCGGGUUGUAAACCGCUUUCGCCUGUGACGAAGCGUGAGUGACGGUAAUGGGUAAAGAAGCACCGGCUAACUACGUG
rnacentral:rRNA from 1 species